AUUGAACGCUAGCGGCAGGCCUUACACAUGCAAGUCGAACGAGUGGCGGACGGGUGAGUAAUGUAUGGGAAACUGCCCGGUGGCGGGGGAUAACUACUGGAAACGGUAGCUAAUACCGCAUACUAUUGGAGGUGCCCAUAGGGGAUUAGCUUGUUGGUGGGGUAACGGCUCACCAGGGCGACGCUACAUAGCUGGUCUGAGAGGAUGACCAGCCAAACUGGGACUGAGAACGGGCCCAGAAUCCUACGGGAGGAAGCAGGGGGGAAUUAUGCACAAUGGGGGAAACCCUGAUGCAGCCAUGCCGAGUGUAUGAAGAAGGCCUUCGGGUUGUAAAGUACUUUCAGCAGGGAGGCGUGAUCCGCAGAAUAAGCACCGGCUAACUCCGUGCCAGCAGCCGCGGUAAUAC
rnacentral:rRNA from 1 species